GACGAACGCUGGCGGCGUGCCUAAUACAUGCAAGUAGGACGCAGUUGCGAACGGGUGAGUAACGCGUAGGUAACUGGCUAUUAGAGGGGGAUAACUAUUGGAAACGAUAGCUAAUACCGCAUACUAGUAGAUGGACCUUCGUUGUAUUAGCUAGUAGGUAGGGUAAUGGCCUACCUAGGCAACGAUACAUAGCCGAGCGGGGAAGGUGAUUGGGCAACACGGGAAUGAGAAAACGGCCAGAAUCCCACGGGAGGCAGCAGUAGGGAAUCUUCGGAAAUGGGGGGAAACCUGACUGAGCAACGCCGCGGGAGUGAAGAAGGUUUUCGGAUCGUAAAGCUCUGUUGUUAAGGAAGCGGUACUUAACCAGAAAGGGACGGCUAACUACGUGCCAGCAGCCGCGGUAAUAC
rnacentral:rRNA from 1 species